UGGGGAAUAUUGCACAAUGGGCGAAAGCCUGAUGCAGCGACGCCGCGUGAGGGAAGAAGGUUUUCGGAUUGUAAACCUCUGUCUUCGGGGACGAUAAUGACGGUACCCGAGGAGGAAGCCACGGCUAACUACGUGCCAGCAGCCGCGGUAAAACGUAGGUGGCAAGCGUUGUCCGGAAUUACUGGGUGUAAAGGGAGCGCAGGCGGAAUGGCAAGUUGGACGUGAAAUCUAUGGGCUUAACCCAUAGCGUGCGUUCAAAACUGCUGUUCUUGAGUGAUGUAGAGGUAGGCGGAAUUCCCGGUGUAGCGGUGGAAUGCGUAGAUAUCGGGAGGAACACCAGUGGCGAAGGCGGCCUACUGGGCAUCAACUGACGCUGAGGCUCGAAAGUAUGGGGAGCAAACAGG
rnacentral:rRNA from 2 species